rnacentral:rRNA from 1 species
AUGAAUAUGAGCCAUGGAGAGGAUACAAAUGGAUCGGAGUUGGUAGAUUUUGAUGAUUUUGCUAACCCUCCCCAAGAAUAUUAUGAGUACAACAUCAUCAUGGGAGGAGGAUUUGAAUUAAUUAGAAUAGAUGACAAUUUUAAUGUUAUGUGCCUUUUUGGAGCAGUGGAUCUCGCUUUUAUUAUGUGUUUGUGCCACUUCAGAUGCAAUAGUAGUAGGAGAGUAGUACAUAUGAACCUUGGAACUAUUUGGAUUUAUUUAGGUGAUUGUGAUCUUGAAAAAAAUCUCAUGGAUAAAUAA